UACAGAGGGUGCAAGCGUUAAUCGGAAUUACUGGGCGUAAAGCGUGCGCAGGCGGUUUUGUAAGACAGAUGUGAAAUCCCCGGGCUCAACCUGGGAACUGCAUUUGUGACUGCAAGGCUAGAGUACGGCAGAGGGGGAUGGAAUUCCGCGUGUAGCAGUGAAAUGCGUAGAUAUGCGGAGGAACACCAAUGGCGAAGGCAAUCCCCUGGGCCUGUACUGACGCUCAUGCACGAAAGCGUGGGGAGCAAACAGG
rnacentral:rRNA from 1 species